AACGAACGCUGGCGGCAUGCCUAACACAUGCAAGUCGAACGAGACCUUCGGGUCUAGUGGCGCACGGGUGCGUAACGCGUGGGAACCUGCCCUUAGGUUCGGAAUAACUCCCCGAAAGGGGUGCUAAUACCGGAUAAUGUCUUCGGACCAAAGAUUUAUCGCCUUUGGAUGGGCCCGCGUUGGAUUAGCUAGUUGGUAGGGUAAAAGCCUACCAAGGCGACGAUCCAUAGCUGGUCUGAGAGGAUGAUCAGCCACACUGGGACAGGGACACGGCCCAGACUCCUACGGAAGGCAGCAGUGGGGAAUAUUGGACAAUGGGCGAAAGCCUGAGCCAGCAAUGCCGCGUAAGUGAUGAAGGCCUUAGGGUUGUAAAGCUCUUUUACCCGGGAUGAUAAUGACAGUACCGGGAGAAUAAGCUCCGGCUAACUCCGU
rnacentral:rRNA from 1 species